rnacentral:rRNA from 1 species
UACAGAGGGGGCAAGCGUUAUUCGGAAUUAUUGGGCGUAAAGGGCGCGUAGGCGGCUAUUCAAGUGGCGGGUGAAAUCCCUCGGCCUUAACCGAGGAACUGCCUGCCAGACUGGAUGGCUUGAGACCGGGAGAGGUGAGUGGAAUUCCCAGUGUAGCGGUGGAAUGCGCAGAUAUCAGGAGGAACACCGAUGGCGAAGGCAAUCCCCUGGCCUGUACUGACGCUCAUGCACGAAAGCGUGGGAGCAAACGGG